UAUUAAGCGGAGGAAAAGAAACUAACUAGGAUUCCCUUAGUAGCGGCGAGCGAACCGGGAGAAGCCCAGCACCGAAUCCCGCGAUAAUUUUAUCGCUGGGAAAUGUGGUGUUAAGAAGGAUCUGCUAUCCUGCAGUUACGCGACACGUCCAAGUCCAUCUUGAACGGGGCCACUACCCAUAGAGGGUGCCAGGCCCGUAGAGACUGUCGUAAAUUGUAGGAAGAUCUCUUCUGAGAGUCGGGUUGCUUGAAAGUGCAGCCCUAAGUGGGUGGUAAACUCCAUCUAAGGCUAAAUAUAACCACGAGACCGAUAGCGAACAAGUACCGUGAGGGAAAGUUGAAAAGAACUUUGAAGAGAGAGUUCAAUAGUACGUGAAACCGUUCAGGGGUAAACCUGAGAAACCCGAAAGUUCGAACGGAGAGAUUCAUAUGCGUUUCAAUGUUCGAGUAUUUGCGAAUUUGUGAGACUUGUUGCACUUGUGCAGCUUGCCCUUUCGCUUAUAUAAUCGUUCGUGAACGUGUGCACUUCUCUCCCAGUAGAACGUCGCGACCCGUUAGGUGUCGGUCUAAGGCUUGCGUUGGAGCUCGUAGCACAGUUUACUGAAGUUUACGAACACGCAAUGUUCCCGGCCGACUCGCUUGACGGUUUACAGAAGGCGCAAGGCCGCGAUAUUAAUUCGCGUUCGACCCGUUACAAGCACGUUCGUAGCGUUAGUCGAUCGGACUCUGUGCCGAUUCUGACCACGAGCUGUUGUUGGUUUCGGAGUUCUCGGACAGACCUUGUCGAAUCGCCGAUCUGCGACGCUAUUGCUUUGGGUAAUUUCAGGGCCCGUCUUGAAACACGGACCAAGGAGUCUAGCAUGUACGCAAGUCAAUGGGACAUAACUAAACCCAAAGGCGAAAUGAAAGUGAAUGCUAGCCUUGCGCUAGCAGAGGGAAGAUGGGCAAUCGUUAAGAUGAUCGCCCCGCACUCCCGGGGCGUCUUAUUCUCAUUGCGAGAAGAGACGCACCUAGAGCGUACAUGCUGGGACCCGAAAGAUGGUGAACUAUGCCUGGUCAGGACGAAGUCAGGGGAAACCCUGAUGGAGGUCCGUAGCGAUUCUGACGUGCAAAUCGAUCGUCGGAACUGGGUAUAGGGGCGAAAGACUAAUCGAACCAUCUAGUAGCUGGUUCCCUCCGAAGUUUCCCUCAGGAUAGCUGGCGCUCGUAACGAGUCUCAUCCGGUAAAGCGAAUGAUUAGAGGCAUUGGGGUCGAAACGACCUCAACCUAUUCUCAAACUUUAAAUGGGUGAGAUCUCCGGCUUGCUCGAACGUGAAGCCGCGAGAUAAGGAUCAGAGUGCCAAGUGGGCCAUUUUUGGUAAGCAGAACUGGCGCUGUGGGAUGAACCAAACGCCGAGUUAAAGCGCCUAAAUCGACGCUUAUGGGAUACCAUGAAAGGCGUUGGUAACUUAAGACAGCAGGACGGUGGCCAUGGAAGUCGGAAUCCGCUAAGGAGUGUGUAACAACUCACCUGCCGAAGUUACUAGCCCUGAAAAUGGAUGGCGCUAAAGCGUCGUGCUUAUACUCGGCCGUCAGUGGCAAGUGCGGUCGUCUUUGACGGCCAUGAAGCCCUGACGAGUAGGAGGGUCGCGGCGGUGCGCGCAGAAGGAUUAGCCGUGAGGCUAUCUGGAGCCGCCGUCGGUGCAGAUCUUGGUGGUAGUAGCAAAUACUCCAGCGAGACCCUGGAGGACUGAUGUGGAGAAGGGUUUCGUGUGAACAGCUGUUGCACACGAGUCAGUCGAUCCUAAGCACUAGGCGAAAGCCGAUGUUGAUGAGGUGUAUUUUACAUGUUACUAGUUACCUUACACACCCAUCGUGCGAAAGGGAAUCCGGUUCAUAUUCCGGAACCCGGCAGCGGAACCGUUAACCUUCGGGCCCUCAUUGAGUGUUCGUCGGGGUAACCCAAAAUAACCCGGAGACGCCGUCGGGAGAUCCAGGAAGAGUUUUCUUUUCUGUAUGAGCGUUCGAGUUCCAUGGAAUCCUCUAGCAGGGAGAUAUGGUUUGGAACGCGAAGAGCACCGCAGUUGCGGCGGUGUCUGGAUCUUCCCCUCGGACCUUGAAAAUCCGGGAGAGGGCCACGUGGAGGAGUCGCGCCGGCUCGUACCCAUAUCCGCAGCAGGUCUCCAAGGUUAAGAGCCUCUAGUCGAUAGAAUAAUGUAGAAAAGGGGAAGGUCAA
rnacentral:rRNA from 1 species